GUGGGGAAUCUUGCGCAAUGGGCGAAAGCCUGACGCAGCCAUGCCGCGUGAAUGAUGAAGGUCUUAGGAUUGUAAAAUUCUUUCACCGGGGACGAUAAUGACGGUACCCGGAGAAGAAGCUCCGGCUAACUUCGUGCCAGCAGCCGCGGUAAUACGGAGGGUGCAAGCGUUAUCCGGAAUCACUGGGUUUAAAGGGUACGUAGGCGGUUAAUUAAGUCAGUAGUGAAAGACUGUCGCUCAACGACGGAUGUGCUAUUGAUACUGGUUAACUUGAAUCAGGUUAGAGUUGGCGGAAUGGGUCAUGUAGCGGUGAAAUGCUUAGAUAUGACUUGGAACACCGAUAGCGAAGGCAGCUGACUGAGCCUUGAUUGACGCUGAGGUACGAAAGUGUGGGUAGCGAACAGGAUUAGAUACCCCUGUAGUCC
rnacentral:rRNA from 1 species